UCGUCAACCUGCUGAGGACAGAUAUAAUGGAUGUGCGAGUCGAUCGCUCCUGCAGUGACAAUCAACUUCUCCCCAGCAACGACUUCCGUAGCUGACCCAACAAUCAGGUCGGGAUGAACGUCGGCCAUGACAUCUGGGUUUCCGGCUUUACCAAUACCUUUGAUCAGGCCGUUCUUCACGCCGAUGUCCGCCUGAACAUUGUUUCAGCAACAGGCCCGGAAACGAGAUUGGAAUCUUCACUUUGUAUAUGCCCGACCAGUCGAUGAUCAAGGCGUUGGUGAUGACGAGGUCAAGCACUUCCGAGGCUGAACGGUUGGUCGCCUGUCCCAUGCCUUCGCGG
rnacentral:sRNA from 1 species